GUGGGGAAUCUUGCGCAAUGGGGGCAACCCUGACGCAGCGACGCCGCGUGGGUGAAGAAGGCCUUCGGGUUGUAAAGCCCUGCCGCAGGGGAAGAAACAGUCCCGGGUAACGCCGGGUUGCGACGGUACCCUGUGAGAAAGCACUGGCUAACUCCGUGCCAGCAGCCGCGGUAAUACGGAGAGUGCGAGCGUUGUUCGGAAUCACUGGGCGUAAAGCGGGUGUAGGCGGCCUUGCAAGUCGGACUGUGAAAGCCUGGGGCUCAACUCCAGAAGUGCAUCCGAAACUGCCGGGCUUGAGUUCGGGAGAGGGAAGCGGAAUUCCCGGUGUAGAAGUGAAAUUCGUAGAUAUCGGGAGGAACACCAGUGGCGAAGGCGGCUUCCUGGACCGAUACUGACGCUCUGACCCGAAAGCGUGGGGAGCAAACAGGAUUAGAUACCCCAGUAGUCC
rnacentral:rRNA from 1 species